AUUGAACGCUGGCGGCAGGCCUAACACAUGCAAGUCGAACGAGCGGCGGACGGGACAGUAAUGUCUGGGAACCUGCCUGGUGGAGGGGGAUCACUACUGGAAACGGUAGCUACUACCGCAUACCAUCAGAUGUGCCCAGAUGGGAUUAGUUUGUUGGUGGGGUAACGGCUCACCAAGACGACGAUCCCUAGCUGGUCUUAGAGGAUGACCAGCCCCCCUGGAACUGGGACACGGUCCAUACUCCUACGGUAGGCAGCAGAGGGGAAUAUGGGACAAUGGGCGCAGGCCUGAUGCAGCCAUGCCGCGUGUAUGAAGAAGGGCUUCGGGUUGUAAAGUACUUUCAGCGGGGAGGCGUGACCCGCAGAAGAAGCACCGGCUAACUCCGUGCCAGCAGCCGCGGUAAUUC
rnacentral:rRNA from 1 species